AGAUAACUACAUUUUUAACAAAGUCAAAAUUGAAAUAAAAGUGUAUUAUGUGGAAGAAUUUCUUGCAAGGAUCCAAAGCAGGCUGUAUACCCUGACAGCAGAGAGCCUGAUGUGGGGCUUGAACCCAGGCCAUAAGAUCAUGACGUGAGUGGAAAUCAGAUGCUUAACCAACUGAGCCACUCAGGUACACCAAUAACAAAUUACUUUUAUGGAAAAUAUAUGGCCAAUAGGGGUCCAGACAUUGCAUUAUAAUUCACUAGGGCUGGAAUAGACUAUAGUGAUCAUUAUGUCCUACUUCACGGGCAAAAAAACUGGGGAUGUUUUAAUAAAAUGACCUCUUCCUUUUGCA